GCAUGGAAGCUUUGACUUUAUGGUGUCUCCAACUCAGAAAAGCCUGCUUGUGGACCCAAAGCCCAGAGGAGAUACUUGCUAUAACUGCCUAUAAAAGGAGAAUGUGAGGGCAUGCUGUCAUCCAGCACAAGUCUCACCUAUCAAAAAGGAAAAACGUACUGAACUGAGGGAUCCAGCAUGGAACGAGAUGACAGGUGAGGCACAGCAACACAAAUAGGCAGCAGUGAAUUGGACAAAUCUGCCACCUGCAAGCAGAGAGCAUGAGCUCAGCUAGUGCAAGAAUCUGGUGGCUCUGUGCUGCCCUGCUGGAAGGUCUCCUGACGCCUCCGGACUCCUGCUUCCCUGUAACCACUCCAGUCUCUUCCUGUCACAAUGAAAUCAUUCCUGCUGCAGUGAAGGGAUUAAUUAGGUCUACCAGUACUUCACUACCCUCAAUCCUAACUGAAAAUCAGACAGCUUUUCCUGUUUCGCACGUCUGUGCUCAGAGAUGUGACUGACCUAACGCUUGGCACCUUAGAAAAAUCAUGCCCCAGUGUGGAUCAAGACUCAGGAAACAAAUCCUCUCCAUAACUGCGCAGAGCAGGGCAUAAGCUAAUGCCAGAAUGAUGUGAUGCUUGACGCUUUGACCUUGCUUUCUGUGCAAGACUCUCCAAGCUUCAUACCACUGGGAGCGCAUCAUUUGUGACGAGCAAAAAAGUCAGAGCAACUGGUUCUUAAAAGAUUUGUCAUAGUUUUGCUUUAAAAAUAAUUCAUCUCAUAGCUGAAUUCAGUAUUUUGGGUCAGUUAUAAUUGAAUCUGCUCAGACAGAGAAGUUAUAUGAGACUAAUUACCUACUGUCUCUACUCGAAGUAAAUAUUAAAGGCAAGAAAAAUAAACAUGGGCUGAAGUGUGAUAUGCAAAUCACAUUGAUAACUAUCAGGUUAAGACCAUGAAUUUAUAUUCUUUUAAUCAUUAUGAGGUUUAGAUGGUAUCUCCAGCAAAGAAAAGUCAGUAUGAUGGUAUAUGACUGUCUAUGAUUUGGUCCCUAAUUGCAAACAACAAAAAUACAUUAACCUGCUUGUAUCCUGUGUCUCAUUAUUGUCAUAAAAAUGAUAAGAAAAU
rnacentral:lncRNA from 7 species